CAUGCGCCGCUGCCGACUCCGGUGCACUGUGGGAUGGGAGCCCGAGCGGCACGUCGAGGCCAGAGCGGGCGGCGGCGGCGGGGCCGGCGGCGGCCGGGGAGCGCGGCUUAGGCUCGGCUGGCCGGCGGGAGCGCGGGCGCGGGCGGCGCCGCCAUGAACUCCGCGGUGGUGAAGCGGACGCAGGAGGCCCUGGGGAAGGUGAUCCGGAGGCCGCCGCUGACGGAGAAGCUGCUGAGCAAGCCCCCGUUCCGCUACCUGCACGACAUCAUCACGGAGGUGAUUAGGAUGACCGGUUUCAUGAAGGGCCUCUACACAGACGCUGAGAUGAAGUCCGAUAAUGUUAAGGAUAAAGAUGCAAAAAUUAGCUUCCUUCAGAAGGCCAUAGACGUGGUGGUGAUGGUUUCGGGAGAGCCACUGUCAGCAAAGCCAGCACGGAUCGUGGCUGGGCACGAGCCUGAAAGAACAAACGAGCUGCUGCAGAGAAUUGGCAGAUGCUGUCUCAGCAAGCUCUCCAGCGACGAGGCGGUGAAGAGAGUGUUAGCUGGAGAGAAGGGGGAUCUGAAGGGAAGGUCCUCACUGAUGUCAAAAUCUCAGGAAUUGGACAAUAAGAAUGCACAAGAAGAAGAGCCCAGAGUUCAUAAAGAUAAAGAGGAUAAAAGGAACUCUGAAAUUAAUGAGAGGAGUACAAGCAGAGAUCGGAAACAGCAAGAAGAAGUGAAGGAAGAGAGCAAAGCAAGAGAGAAGGACAAAGAGAAGGAGAAGACGAGGGAGAACGACCGUGAGAGACAUAAAGAUCCUGAACGAGACAAGCACCGCGAUGGGGAGAGAGAACGAGCCAGAAACCGGACCAAGCAGGACAGAGACCGAGGCAACAGAGACCGCGACAAAGACCUGGACCAUGAGAGAGAGAGGAGGAACGAGGGAGGAAAGGAGAAAGAGAGGUGGAAAGACCGGGAGAGAGAGCGUGAGCGAGACAAGGCCCGGGACAGGGACAGGGACAGGGACAGGCGGAAGCUGAAGGAUGGGGAGCACUCCAGGGACCCUGACAGGGAGAAGAGCAGAGAGCAUGACAAACCUGAGAAAAAGUCCUCAAGCUCAGGGGAGGUGUUCAAAAAGAUGCCAGAUGGAUCUUUGAAAGACUCCAAAGCUGAAACAGAGACCGAGAUUUCCACUAGAGCGUCCAGGUCAGUGGCAACAAAAGCAUCAAAACGGCGAUCCAAAAAUGCAGUGGAAGGAAGAAGGGGCUCUAGAGCCAGUGAAAAUAGUCUUUCCCCUGAAAAAGAACAUAACUCUUCCUACAGUAAAGCUAAGAAGGAGCACACCGUGAAGCAGCUUGGAAGAAAGGAAGAUAGUAUUUCAGCUAAAAUGUUAGAUCCUGUAUUGUCUGGACUAAAUCAUGAAGCAGAUCAGGAAACUACAACUUCAGAAAUUGGAACAAAAGAAGCUAAUACUAACUCAGCUAGUGUUUCAGAUGAUAACUCAGCAAGUAUGUGGCGGGAGAAUGUUGAGCCUGAGCCAACAGUGAAGCAGAAAGGUGACUCUCCUAGUGAUGCAGAAGGAGAAGUUGGACCUUCUGGCCCAGAGAAGCCUGAGGUGUCCGAGAGCUCCGAGCUGCCAGGCGAGCUUCCAGCCAACCUCAGAAGAAUACCUCGGCCUGGGAGUGCGAGGCCAGCACCCCCCCGCGUGAAGCGCCAGGACAGCGUGGAGGCAUUGACACCAGACAGGACAGGAAGUGGGAAAAUCGUUGCCAGUGUGAUUGUAGACGCGCAGAACUCCGACAAUGAGGACGACAGUCAGUUUGUGGUGGAGGCGGCCCCCCAGCUCCCUGAGACAUCGGAGCUGGAAGUGGUGCCUGCGGUAGACAUGGAGGCCGAGGAGAAGCACGGAGGACUUGUGAAAAAGAUUCUGGAGACCAAGAAAGAUUAUGAGAAGUUUCAGCGGGCACCCAGACCUGGAGAGAAGGAGAAGUCGCUUGUCUUUGAGGCUGCGUGGAAGAAGGAGAAGGACAUAGUUUCCAAGGAGAUCGAGAAGCUGCGCGUGUCCAUCCAGACCCUGUGCAAGAGUGCGCUCCCCCUGGGGAAGAUCAUGGACUACAUCCAGGAGGAUGUGGACGCCAUGCAGAAUGAGCUGCAGCUGUGGCAUAGCGAGAACAAGCAGCAUGCUGAGGCCCUGCAAAAGGAGCAGAGCGUCACAGAUGGUGCGGUUGAGCCCCUGAAGGCCGAGCUGGCUGAGCUGGAGCAGCUGAUCAAAGACCAGCAGGACAAGAUCUGUGCCGUGAAGGCCAACAUCCUGAAGAACGAGGAGAAGAUUCAGAAAAUGGUCUACAGCAUCAACCUGAGCUCGAGAAGGUGAAGCUCACAUGUUUCCAAAGCUGGAAGUCCUCCUCAGUCUGAAAAUAAAAAGGAAGAUAGAACGUCACCACUCUCUCAGUUCAGUUUUCUGAGAAAAUGAAGCUUUCCGUGUCCUCCCUCCAAGGUGCAGAGCUCUGAAAACGCAGGCACAUCCGUGUGUUGAGGGCCAUGUUCUGUCCCCUUCCUCCAGUGGGGGCAUUGCCUGCCGUGCGGACAUGUUCUCUGCGUCUCCGCGCGGCCAGUCGUGCUCAGGGCCAUGCCAGAAGUCGCCAGCAGCCACAUCCUGGUUUGGACAGCAGACAACAUGCCCCUCUUCCUAUUGGAAACCUGUCAUGCCUGGUGGAGUGUGGCUGCCAAGAGGGAGCAAGGGCACUCGGGUGCCCACGGAGCGCUGUGUGGCGCACAGCAGGGUCCACUGCUGAAGUUAGUAAGCUGGAUUGGGGGGAUGUGCUCUCAAGACCUCAGACACCUGGCGAGGUUUCUGCUUCUCUGUGGGCAGACGUGGGAGUGUGUUUGCCUUCAUCGCUGGUAGAAGGACCUUGCCAUAAAGGCUCCUGUCUAUGAACCGAUGUUGCCCUGAAGCAAAUUCCUGGUGGGUCUGUUCUCUCUGACGUCUUUCCUGGUGAUCUGGACAAAGCUGGGGGAAGUGGCUCUGUAAUUCACAACUGGUGUGAACAAGUGGGCAGGCCCCAUGUGAUGAAGCAUCAACUCAGGACAUGAGAACAUGAAGCUGGGCCAGCCCUGACUCGGUGAAAGAUGACAGGAAGAACCGUGAGGACACGGAUGUCCAGGUGGUACCACACUUGGGAUGUGAUGGGCGGGAGCAUCAGUGGAAACCUCCCCACCCCACCAUGGCCACCGUUGUUCUCUGAAGAAGCCAGGUGCUUCGAUCUUGGGAGGCACUGGAGGACGUGAAGCCUGGCUGGACCUGUGCCACUGCCUGCUAGUCCAGGAUCCCUUAGAGCCCAGCAGGACACCCUGGUGACAAGGUUAUGUCUGCUGAGCUAGGUGUCCGAUGGUGUGUGAUGUUGCCACGUGCAGGAAAGUGUCACCGUGGAGGCUUCACAUGGAGGAAAGCAAGCCCGAAGGUGGAUGAGACUAAGGGCGAAACUUAGAGUUCCAGCAGUCAGCUAUGCCCAAACACCAGCCCGUCCUGGACAUCCCUGUUCUACAGAUGUCUUCAUGGGUGCGAUGGUUCUAUUUUAUGUCGACUUGGCAAGGCUGUGGUCCCCAAGUUAUGUGGUGCGUUGCCAGUCUAGAGUUGCAGGGAAGAUAUUUUGUAAAUGGGAUUAGCAUCUACAAUCAGUGGACUUUACAUGAAGAUUACCCUUAAUAAUCGGGUGGGCCUCAUCUCAUCAGUUGAAGGCCUCACUGGCAAAAAUCGGUUUCUCUGAGAAAAAGCAGUUCUCCCUCAAGACUGCAGCAUACAAACUCUGUCUGAGUCUCUAGGCUGCCAGCCUGCCCUGUGAAUUUUGGACUCAAGACUACAACAUCAGCUCCUGUCUGAGUUUGCAGCCUGCCAGCCUGGAUUUCAGACUUGCCAGCCUUUGCUGUCAUCUGAGCCAAUUCCUCAAAAUAAAUCUCUUUGCA